AAGAUAUUCUCAGUCUUAGUUACAUCUUUAACUACUCAUCCAACAUGGGUGGAUUGUCUCUCUUUUCUUUAAAGAACAAGCUGGCAAUAGUCUAUAGUGUUGAACAAUGUUUAACAAUAAUUAAACAAUGUUGAUCUUUCAGUAGGUCCUUAAUUAGAAUAUUUCAUUUUGAUUUAUUUUCUAAAAACAUCCAAGCUGAACACCGCAGUUUGUUUUUAGCAAAUCUCACCAAUUAGUACAUUUGAAUACGACUGCAAUUAAAGUCUAUGGCACAGAGGAACAAGCUUCAUCGGGUUCAAGAUAUGGGCACAACAUGUUUUGUGCACAACAGAAUGAAAAGAAAAAAAGACAACAGGGUGUAAAAACAGCCAAUACACAGUUAACAGAAAGAAAUACCUGUGCUUAAAAAGUACAAAACAUUGAUUGAGUAACUUAUAUUGAGUGCAAAGACAUAGUACUGCACACUAUACUAUGUUUCACUUACAAAAGUGCUGCUGUGAGUACUUAGAGUUUCAUGCAGGAUUGCAAAUUAUGCAUAUGUGCUGAUCUCAGCUCUCUGUUCCCAUGCUUAUUGUUUAGGGUCAUACUAUAGGUGCGGCUAGAGUACAGUACACAUCAACCUAGUGGAGCUAUCUGUGGAUUGGUUUGCUGUUAUCCCAGGAAAUAAUACCAGAAUCUGCUGUGAUAUUUAUUUUCGAGGCAGAUAAUAUCAGUACAAUUCCCACCAAUACUAGUUGAUGCUAACUUUCAUUUUGUGAUAUUUUUCAACAUUAUAUAUAUUGCUUUAGCCUUUGUAAUCACGUGGUGUGUUGACCAUACAGAAACACACAAUAGUGCUGUGAAAAGUCCACACAUUAGACUCAUUCUGAUACAGUUGCACAUCUGACACAGAUAAUAAAGCUUUAGUGAUACAUUCUAAACCGUGAACUAUUUCACUGGCACUUUAAUUCCCUACUCCUUAGCGCCAGCUGCUUGAUCAGAUUAAAGGGAGCAGAAAAGGGAACUAUUUUUGCCACUUUGCUCUGCGUAGACAAACGUUAUAACGUGGCUAUAACGAAAGAUUGCUCCAAAACGUUAUAUCUAGAGGCGAUUCUGGACCUGUGCAGCCCCUCCAGAAAGCCUCCCUCCCUGAGCUCUCUCAGUAGCUGCCCACUACAAACAUGUGUUGCACCAGAGCUCUCAGUGUCUCUCAACUUCCUGUCUAAAUCUACUCUCUUCGUCUUCUCGUGCCGUUGCUGAGAUGGAUGUUCAGAGAGGCGGGAUAAG